rnacentral:tRNA from 3 species
UGCCCUCGUAGUGUAGUGGAUAGCACAAGAGAUUCCGGUUCUCUUAGGGUGGGUUCGAAUCCUGUCGAGGGCGUC